rnacentral:lncRNA from 1 species
AUCAUCAUCAUAUUAUUCCAUUCAUCUUUACAUAAUCAUCAUCAUGCAACAUGAAUCAAAAGUCAACAAAAGUCAAGUUUUUGGCAAAUGACAACAAUAAUCACACACUAUCCUAACCAAAACCUUGCAUCCAAUUCAUCUUCCACUUCAAGUUUCUUCACAUCGAAGAAAUGUUAAAAACUUGAGUCAAACCUUCCACAUUGCUAUCAAUUUUCAUCCCAGUCCAUUGAAUCCUUACCCAACAUCAU